rnacentral:rRNA from 1 species
AGUCGAACGAGAAAGGGGAGCAAUCCCUGAGUACAGUGGCGUACGGGUGAGUAACACGUGGGUAAUCUGCCCUUUGGUGGGGAAUAACCCUGGGAAACCGGGGCUAAUACCGCAUAAGUCCGAGAGGAGAAAGCAGCAAUGCGCCGAAGGAGGAGCCCGCGGCCGAUUAGCUAGUUGGUGAGGUAAAAGCCCACCAAGGCAAAGAUCGGUAGCCGGCCUGAGAGGGCACACGGCCACACUGGCACUGAAACACGGGCCAGACUCCUACGGGAGGCAGCAGUGGGGAAUCUUGCACAAUGGGGGAAACCCUGAUGCAGCGACGCCGCGUGAGCGAUGAAGCCCUUCGGGGUGUAAAGCUCUUUCGGCAGGGAAGAUGAUGACGGUACCUGCAGAAGCAGCUGCGGCUAACUACGUGCCAGCAGCCGCGGUAAUACGUAGGCAGCAAGCGUUGUUCAGAGUUACUGGGCGUAAAGGGUGUGUAGGCGGUUUGGUAAGUCUGGUGUGAAAUCUCCCGGCUCAACUGGGAGGGUGCGCCGGAAACUGCCGGACUCGAGUGCGGGAGAGGAGAGUGGAAUUCCUGGUGUAGCGGUGAAAUGCGUAGAUAUCAGGAGGAACACCGGUGGUGUAGACGGCUCUCUGGACCGUAACUGACGCUGAAACACGAAAGCGUGGGUAGCAAACAGGAUUAGAUACCCUGGUAGUCCACGCCCUA